rnacentral:rRNA from 1 species
UACGUAGGUGGCAAGCGUUGUCCGGAUUUACUGGGCGUAAAGAGCGCGCAGGCGGUCGUUCAAGUCGCGUGUGAAAGCCCCCGGCUCAACUGGGGAGGGUCACGCGAUACUGAUCGACUCGAAGGCAGGAGAGGGUAGUGGAAUUCCCGGUGUAGUGGUGAAAUGCGUAGAUAUCGGGAGGAACACCAGUGGCGAAGGCGGCGACCUGGGUAGAUACUGACGCUGAGGCGCGAAAAGCGUGGGGAGCAAACAGGG